rfam:Oryctolagus cuniculus chromosome 7, whole genome shotgun sequence.
GGCGCUGUGGCGCAGAGGGUUAGAGCCCCAGCCUGCAGCGCUGGCAUCCCAUAUGGGCACCGGUUCAAGUCCUGACUGCUCCA